GGGCGUGCCUAAUACAUGCAAGUCGAGCGGACGAUUCCUUACUUGCUUUUGAAUCGUUAGCGGCGGACGGGUGAGUAACACGUGGGCAACCUGCCCUGUAGACGGGGAUAACACCGAGAAAUCGGUGCUAAUACCGGAUAACACGAGAGACCGCAUGGUUUUUCGUUGAAAGGCGGCGCAAGCUGUCGCUACAGGAUGGGCCCGCGGCGCAUUAGCUAGUUGGUGAGGUAACGGCUCACCAAGGCGACGAUGCGUAGCCGACCUGAGAGGGUGAUCGACCACACUGGGACUGAGACACGGCCCAGACUCCUACGGGAGGCAGCAGUAGGGAAUCUUCCGCAAUGGACGAAAGUCUGACGGAGCAACGCCGCGUGAGCGAAGAAGGCCUUCGGGUCGUAAAGCUCUGUUGUUAGGGAAGAACAAGUACCGCAGUCACUGGCGGUACCUUGACGGUACCUAACGAGAAAGCCACGGCUAACUACGUGCCAGCAGCCGCGGUAAUACGUAGGUGGCAAGCGUUGUCCGGAAUUAUUGGGCGUAAAGCGCGCGCAGGCGGUUCCUUAAGUCUGAUGUGAAAGCCCACGGCUCAACCGUGGAGGGUCAUUGGAAACUGGGGGACUUGAGUGCAGAAGAGGAGAGCGGAAUUCCACGUGUAGCGGUGAAAUGCGUAGAGAUGUGGAGGAACACCAGUGGCGAAGGCGGCUCUCUGGUCUGUAACUGACGCUGAGGCGCGAAAGCGUGGGGA
rnacentral:rRNA from 1 species